rnacentral:rRNA from 1 species
UACGUAGGGGGCAAGCGUUGUCCGGAUUUACUGGGCGUAAAGGGCGCGUAGGCGGCUUCGCUAGUCGGGCGUGAAAUGCCUGGGCUUAACCCGGGAAUUGCGUUCGAUACUUCGAGGCUAGAGUGUGGGAGAGGUUGGUGGAAUUCCCAGUGUAGAGGUGAAAUUCGUAGAUAUUAGGAAGAACACCGGUGGCGAAGGCGGAUCUCUGGGCCAUUACUGACGCUGAGGAGCGAAAGCGUGGGGAGCGAACAGG